rnacentral:lncRNA from 1 species
GCCUUGAUACAACUAAUGAACUUGCAACAACAGCCAUAUGUAAACGACAAGGGAUUCAUUUAUCGUUUUGUCUGCAAAAAUUUGUCCACUCAAGCCGCUAAUCGAAAAUCGCAAACUGGCCCCUCUAAUCUGGAUCACAUACUCAAGACUGGAGACAAUGUGGUACUGUACUUUUAUGUCCUAUAAAAUUCAGGUGAUGAACAUGCUAUCUUUUCAAUCAUCAUUCAUUGUCACUUCAACGAUACAUAAGCAUUCUGCUGAUCAGAUGUAAUGAUCACUGCGACUAGGUUCUCAGCACUGUAUCCGACUAGCAAAUCAUCUCUAGAGGAGUUGUAACGGACGUUGAUCGCUCCCAAGUUUCAGUAAGACCAGAAUUCCACAAUUGGCUGCCUUCUUCUUGACCAAUAUUCUGACCAGUGGAGGUUUAACAAUUGGUUUAGCGUCGUUCUUCUUUUUCGCAGUAUUUCUAGAGCUAUCUGCAAAUAAAAAAGCAAAACAGGUUCUGAAUCUCAAAGAGCUUAACUUUUAUGGUUAAAUAUUACAAAUUAUAGUGCGAGGGAG